AUGAAAGUCCAUUUGGUCCUCUUCUUGCUCCUAAUUCUUGUCAGCUUCACUAGCAAUGUUAACACUCUCUCAACCAAUUCCAAAUCCAACUCUUCAAUUCCUCAAUUAACCCAACAGAAAAGACCUGACAAUGAGACAAUAUAUAGAGUAUCAAAGCAGCUAUGUUGGGGUUGCAUUGCAGAGUCACUGGAGUUUGUUCAGGCACAACUUGGUGAGAGCAGCCAAGUGGGAACUCCCACUGAUGUGGGACUUCCAGCUGGAGCAAUACGCGAGGUGGUGGGCUGGUCAAAGGAAAGCAGAUUGCAAGCUCGAACAUUCUUUCCCAGAAGAUGGUUUCAAGCUUGGAGAGAACAUUUAUUGGGGUAGUGGCUCGGCGUGGACGCCAAGUGAUGCUGUAAGAGCAUGGGCUGAUGAAGAGAAAUACUACACCUACGCCACUAAUACUUGUGUGCCAGGUCAGAUGUGUGGCCAUUACACUCAGAUAGUGUGGAAGAGCACCUGAAGAAUUGGAUGUGCUCGGGUUGCAUGUGACGAUGGAGAUGUGUUCAUGACUUGUAAUUAUGAUCCCGUGGGCAAUUAUGUCGGAGAGCGACCCUAUUAAAUUGUUAUAAACUAUGUGUGCAUUAAUUCAUGUAGCGAAAUUGAAACUCUAGUGGUAUUAGAUAAUACUACAAUAAUUGAAACUCUAGUGAAUUAGUUUCUCAGUCCUUAUGAGUGAGUAUGUGCGAGUGUAUAUGUAAAUACUUGUGGGAAGUGGGAUAAUUACGGGAUUGGCUUUAAUAAUUAGUUAGUACUUGGGUCAAUAAAUAAAAGUACCAAAAAGUAAUUAAAGGGUAUCAGUAGUUAGAGAUCUGUUGCCUGAGGUUAAACUUUGAGUCAUCAUAUAAAGUGAAAUAAAAUAUUUAUCCUCCCAUGUGAAAUGCA